AUUGAACGCUGGCGGCAGGCCUAACACAUGCAAGUCGAGCGGAUGAAGGGAGCUUGCUCCUGGAUUCAGCGGCGGACGGGUGAGUAAUGCCUAGGAAUCUGCCUGGUAGUGGGGGAUAACGUCCGGAAACGGGCGCUAAUACCGCAUACGUCCUGAGGGAGAAAGCGGGGGAUCUUCGGACCUCACGCUAUCAGAUGAGCCUAGGUCGGAUUAGCUAGUUGGUGGGGUAAAGGCCUACCAAGGCGACGAUCCGUAACUGGUCUGAGAGGAUGAUCAGUCACACUGGAACUGAGACACGGUCCAGACUCCUACGGGAGGCAGCAGUGGGGAAUAUUGGACAAUGGGCGGAAGCCUGAUCCAGCCAUGCCGCGUGUGUGAAGAAGGUCUUCGGAUUGUAAAGCACUUUAAGUUGGGAGGAAGGGCAGUAAGUUAAUACCUUGCUGUUUUGACGUUACCAACAGAAUAAGCACCGGCUAACUUCGUG
rnacentral:rRNA from 1 species